rnacentral:lncRNA from 1 species
UUUUCAAAGAGGUCAUGUUGAUGAUCAUGGCCUAAAAGUCCCUUGUGGUCAUGUUUUUCAUGCAAAUUGUCUUACCAAAUGGCUCUCCAUUUGUAAUUCUUGCCCUCUUUGCCGUUUUAAAGUCAUCGGAAACAGUCUCUCUACCUUCACGAGAUAGGAGUAAGGUUGAGUAUUGCAUUACCCUCUAGAAGGUGAUGAGAUGCUAGAAGAACGGGAGAGAUAAGAAACACAGAAUUGUCUUAACACAUAAUUGGCAUAGCCAAGUAAGAGUUUGAUACCCUUUACUAUUUAGGGAAACUUUUAGAAAAUAGCCACAUUUUUCAGCAAAUAGGGGCGUGCCAGCCUAACUUUCAAAAGUUACCAUCUGUAGCCAAUGUAUCAACUGUCUGCAACUGACUGUAUUUGAUAUAAAAUAUAAAUACAGUGACUUUAUGAACUGAUGUUGGCAACUGUAUGCAACUAAUGUAUUAAUUUGUAUCAAUGAAUACAAUUUGUAUUUUAUAGAAUUGUACAAAUGUAUCAAACACAAAUGCAAAAUAAGGGAGGCUCACCAACUGCGAACUUCGGACAAACAAUCUACUACGUAGUGGAGUCCUGGGACUGUGCCUCAGAUCCUGAAAUAUAGGGGGUCAACAUAGAUGUACUGGUACGCAGAGCAAUCCAAAAUAAUGUACUUUAUACAACAUAAGUGAGAGCAAUUUAUAAAACAGUUUACAUACGAUAUAAGAAAACACAUGGGCGUACUUAAAAGACUUUGAAACAUUCCUUUGAAAUCGCGGCUCACUCCUUAUCUUACUUCUGAGCUAGGUGGUACACUCUACAAUUCCACGGGUUAUAUGGAAUCCACUCUUAACUCGGCGGCCAAGCCCCCAACCCAAGUUUGUCGCAAGGGCUGGAGUCUCUAUCUCUAAUACGCCAAAGGGAACUAGGUCAGCGUAUGGUCCCUCUUGGGGACAUAAUAAACCUGUUUCGCCAAACACAAUUUCUGGCAAUGAGCCCUUACACUCAAAUGUCUUCUUCGCGUAACCACCUAACUCUCUUUAAACCCAUUUUUAACUCUUUAAGACAUGCAUUCUUUGAAAUCAAAAUCUGAAAAUCUUACUCUGUUAUGACAUUCUUCUGAUUGAUGUCAUCAUACCAAGACUUGCAAGUUAUAUCUCUAAGCCAUACAUUAUCAUGUUACAGUUCUUUCAUUCAAAACAAUGUUAAGACCACCAAGUCAUUCAAACAAUUCAAGAGGAUGUGCAUAUCGAAAUUCAUGAAAACUUGUGCAAAGAUUCUCUCUUGCAAUUCACAAACAUAUGGUGGUCAAGUAUCUUGUAACAAACCAUGCAACUCUCUAAAAUCAUCAUCUCUCAUUUAUAUAAACAAGAAAAUACCCUCUCUUCACUUCAUAACCAAAAUCAAGUCUUAAAUAAUAGUAAAGACAUUGAUACCAUGCUUCUCAAUAUGCAAAUUGAAUAUUUCAUAACCUAUGAAAACAAAAUGCUUUAUAAUAAGAGAGGGUUCAUGAUCUCAAUUCAAUCAUUCAAACUCAAACGCAUGCAUACUUAUAUACGAGUACGAAUCAAGUUUAGGGGAAAGCCUCAAGACCAAAAUAUUAUAUCAUUGAAAGAGUUCACAAUGCAUGCUUUUUAAUGAAAUUCAAGAACCCUUCGUAAAUAUAUGAUUUCUCAACAUUCAAAAUAUUAUUAAAAUGAUUUUACCAUGCCCAUGUAGUUUAGAAAAACCCCACGUACCUUAGAUUACUUGAUUCGAAGAAUAGAAUUCAAAUCUUGACUAGUCUCUUUAAAAUCUUGAACUUAAAGAUGAAUUCUUGAUCUUUUGGGAGGGAAGUUAGGGUUUUGUUCUUGAUGAAUUUUGGCAUAGUAUGCCCUAAAGACGUUUUAAUCUUCUAUUUUCACGACUUGGGACCAUGAGAAAAAGACGAGACUGCCCCUCAAUUUUUAAAAAAAUUACAGUAGAAUUCUAUUUUUGGAGCUCACCAUGACGUGGUGCAAUCAUGGUGAGUUACUGGAACUUGACCACUGUCGAUUUGAACUUUACCGUGACACGACAGAGGACCCAUCGCUAUAGUCAUCGCGACGCGGUGCAAUCGCGUUGACCUUCUGUUUUCAAAUUUUAAAUACACCUCAAACCUCGUCUGAAAAGUCCAAAACUCCCCUGAAACAUCAUCUUUACACCCCUGAACAUGAAUCAACUCAAAAAUCUACAUCUCGGGGUCGGAAAGGUCGAUUUAGAAAUCAUUAAAAUUGAGGAGCUUAAAAUAUGACUAAGUCCUAACACGUAGGAAGAUUUUUCAUGUUAUUAGCUAUUUAAGCAUAUAUGCUACUAAAUAUGGUAUCAAGUCGGAAAUGCUACGGGGCGUUACAUUCUCUAAUCCAUUUUCUUCUAAAAGAAUGUCAUAGAAAUUAAGGCGGAGAGAAUAUAAAAGGAAAAAAGAGAAACAAUGAAAACCAAACAUGAACCCCAUUAGAUUGACUUUUAGAAGAAUCAAGAAUUAAUAAAGUGUUAUCAAAUUUAUAAGCUUAGAUGACUUGGUCAAUUUGUAUCAUCACUUGUCAAAUUGUAUUUAAAUUAUCUAAACAUGUUCACCAAAUUUCAAAUCAUUCAUUGACUUAUUAUACCAAAAGUUAUUACCCCAAUAAUAUUCUAGUCUAAGUAAAUAAUUAUUGUUCCACUUGUGACCUUAUUAUACUAUUUCAAUGUUCUUUAAGAUUUUUUUUUACGCAAUAUCGUCUUAAAUUAGAUAUCUCACCUAUGAAAAUUUACUAAAUAUGUUACUCUCUUCGUUUCAGAAUAAGUAAAUUGUUGGGGUAUUUAUUGGUGUUUCAAAAUAAGUGAAUCAUUAAUUUUUUUUUCAAAUUUACCCUUAUGAUUUGACAACCAAUUAACUUUUAAAAAGGUAUUGCAAGGUCAACUUUUUUUUUUUUUUUGGUAAAAAUGGAAAGUUGUGUUAAAUUUAUGUUUUUAAUGUUUUUUCCUUAAUCUAUGUGUCAAAAUUCAACAAUUCAUUUAUUAUGAAACGGAGAAAGUAUUAUUUUUACCGUAAUAUAGUCUUAAAAAUACUAAAAAGCUUGGUCCAGUACCGACAAUUUGACAAGAAAAUAAGAAUGUUACAUAUAUUAACUUUCCCAAACUACUUUUUUUUUUUAAAAAAAAUACUAAUAUUUUCUUGGUCUACAGAAUGUUGAUUCUUUCUAGGAAAUUGUACAAACUCAUGUAUAUAUAUUUGUCUAUAUAAAACUAGAAAACCAAAUUCAUGGUAUUUGGGUUGUUGUCCAACCCCCCACCCACGUAGUGUAGCAUAAAGUUUGAAUUUUUUUCAUCUAUAUAUAUUCAACAAAAUAUGUAAUCAACCAUCACAAAUUACAUAUUUUCAUUCUACAUGGAUAAAGAUUUCGAUCUUGAUUUAGCAUUAACGGUGAUUGGAAUUUCAGGCGGAGACAUGGUAGAGCCACCAUCGUGGUGUUCAAUGCCUUCCGAUGAUCGCGAUGAGAGUAGUCAAGUUCAAUUAUUGCCUAUGGUUAAUUGUGAAAAUGGGCUUUGUACAGUAUGUAUGGAAGGUUUUCAAAGAGGUCAUGUUGAUGAUCAUGGCAAAAAAGUCCCUUGUGGUCAUGUUUUUCAUGUAAAUUGUCUAACCAAAUGGCUUUCCAUUUGUAAUUCUUGCCCUCUUUACGGUCAUAAAAUCAUUGGAAACAGUCUCUCUACCUUCACGAGAUAGGAGUAAGGUUGAGUAUUGCAUUACCCUCUAGGAGGUGAUGAGAUGCUAGAAGAGCGGGAGAGAUGAGAAACACAGAAUUGUCUUAACACAUAAUUCGUGUAGCCUAUACAUAGUAAGAAUUUGAUAACGCUUAAUUAUUUAGGGAAACUUUAGCCACAUUUUUCAGCAGGGCGCGCCAGCCUAAGUUUCAAAUAUUACCAUAUGUAGGAUGUAGCCAGUGGCGGACCAGAUUUUUUGGGUUGUGGGUGCUUUGAAAAAAAUCUUUAUUAAACAAUGUAGCUGCUGGGAUUCAAUCCCAAGAUGUGAGACAUGAAAGUUAUGCCUAGGGCCAAAGCACCCAGCCAUGAUUUUGUUCUUUGGUGCUUUUUUAUAUAUUUUACCAUUUUUUCACUGUUUUUUAUAUAAUUAUACCCCUUUUACGUCGAGUUUAGUGGGUGCUCGAGCACCCCAAAAAUGCACGUGUAGCCAAUGUAUCAACUGUCUGCAACUGACUGGAUUUGAUAUAAAAUAUAAAUACAGUGACUGUAUGAACUAAUGUAUGCAACUGUAUGCAACUAAUGUAUUAAUUUGUAUCAAUGAAUACAAUUUGUAUUUUAUAGAAUUGUACAGUUGUAUCAAACACAAAUGCAAAAUAAGAGAGGCUCACCAACUGCGAACUUCGAACAAACAAUCUACUGCGUAGCGAGGCCCAAGGAUUGUGCCUCAGAUCCUGAAAUAUAGAGGGUCAAUAUAGUUGUACUGGUACGCAGAGCAAUCCCAAAUAAUGUACUUUAUACAAUAUAAGUGAGAGCAAUUUAUAAAACAGUUUACAUACGAUAUAAGAAAACACAUGGGCAUACUUAAAAGACUUUGAAAAUUUCCUUUGAAAUCACGGCUCACUCUUUAUCUUACUUCUGAGCUAGGUGGUACACUCUACAAUUCCACGGGCUAUAUGGAAUCCACCCUUAACUCGGCGGCCAAGCCCCCCAACCCAAGUUUGCCGCAAGGGCUGGAGUCUCUAUCUCUAAUACGCCAAAGGGAACUAGGCCAGCGUAUGGUCCCUCUUGGGGACAUAACAAACCCGUAUUUGCAAAACACAAUUUCCGGUAAUGAGCCCUUACACUCAAAUGCCUUCUUCGGGUAACCACUAAGACUUGCAUUCUUUGAAAUCAAAAUCUGAAAAUCUUACUCUGUUAUGGCAUUCAUCUGAUUGGUAUCGUCAUACCAAGACUUGAAAGUCAUAUCUCUAAGCCAUACAUUAUCAUGUUACAGUUCUUUCAUUCAAAACAUUGCUAAGACCACCAAGUCAUUCAAACAGUUCAAGAGGAUGUGCAUAUCGAAAUUCAUGAAAACUUGUGCAAAGAUUCUCUCUUGCAAUUCACAAACAUGUCGUGGUCAAGUAUCUUGUAACAAACCAUGCAACUCUCUAAAAUCAUCACCUCUCAUUUAUAUAAACAAGAAAACACCCUCUCUUCACUUCAUAACCAAAAUCAAGUCUUAAAUAAUAGUAAAGACAUUGAUAUCAUGCUUCUCAAUAUGCAAAUUGAAUAUUUCAUAACCUAUGAAAACAAGAUGCUUUAUAACAAGAGAGGGUUAUAUAUGUUCAUGCUCUCAAUUCAAUCAUUCAAACUCAAACGCAUGUAUACUUAUAUAUGAGUACGAAUCAAAUAUAGGGGAAAGCCUCAAGACCAAAAUAUUAUAUCAUUGAAAGAGUUCACACUGCAUGCUUUUUAAUAAAAUUCAAGAACCCUUCGUAAAUAUAUGAUUUCUCAACAUUCAAAAUAUAUUUAAAAUGAUUUUACCAUGCCCAUGUAGUUUAGGAAAACCCCACGUACCUUAGAUUACUUGGUUCGAAGAAUAGAAUUCGAAUCUUGACUCGUCUCUUGGAAAUCUUGAACUUAAAGAUGGAUUCUUGAUCUUUUGGGAGGGAACUUGAUGAAUUUGGGCAUAUUAUGCCUUAAAGACGUUUUAAUCUUCCGUUUUCACUACUUGGGACCAUGGAAAAAAGAUGAGACUGCCCCUCAGUUUUUUAAAAAAUUACUGCAGAAUCUCCUUUUUGGAGCUCACUGCGACGUAGUGACAUGCUCAUUGCCAUACCCACCGCGACGCAGUGCAAUCGUGGUGAGUUAUUGAAACUCGACCACUGUCGAUUUGAAUUUCACUGAGACGCGACAGAGGCCCCAUCGCUAUAGUCACCACGACGCGGUGCAAUCGUGGUGACCUUCUAUUUUCAAAUUUUAAACAUUCCUCAAAUCUCAUCUGAAAAGUUUGAAACUCCCCCAAGACAACCCUUUUACAUCCUUAAACAUGAAUCAACUCAAAAAUCUACAUCUCGGGAUCGAAAAGGUCUAUUUAGAAAUCAUUAAUGUUUAGGAGCUUAAAAUAUGACUAAGUUCGCAUUCUAUUGAGUGUGGUAUCAAGUCGGAAAUGCUACGGGACGUAACAUUCUGUAAUCCAUUUUCUUCUAAAAGAAUGUCAUAGAAAUUAAGGCGGAGAGAAUAUAAAAGGAAAAAGAGAAACAAUGAAAACCAAACACGUAACCCAUUAGAUUGGCUUUUAGUAGAAUCAAGAAUUAAUAAAGUGUUAUCUGAUUUAUAAGCUUAGAUGACUUGGUCAAUUUGUAUCAUCACUUGUCAAAUUGUAUUUAAAUUGUCUAAACAUGUUCACCAAAUUUCAACUCAUUCGUUGACUUAUUGUACCAAAUGUUAUUACCCCAAUAAUAUUCUAGUCUAAGUAAAUAAUUAUUGUUCCACUUGUGACCCCAACCAUGUACUAUUUUCAUUCUACAUGGAUAAAGAUUUCGAUCUUGAUUUAGCGUUAACGGUGAUCAGAAUUUCAGGCGGUGACACGGCUGAGCCACCGGGGUGUUCUACGCAUUACGAUGAUCUCGAUGAGAGUAGUCAAGUUCAAGUAUUGCCUAUGGUUAAUUGUGAAAAUGGCCUUUGUAUUGUAUGUAUGGAAGGUUUUCAAAGAGGUCAUUUGAUGAUCAUCAUGGCCUAAAAGUCCCUUGUGGUCAUGUUUUUCAUGCAAAUUGUCUUACCAAAUGGCUCUCCAUUUGUAAUUCUUGCCCUCUUUGCCGUUUUAAAGUCCUUGGAAAUAAUAUCUCUACCUUCACGAGGUAGGACUUAGGAGUACACUAGGUACUUGUUGUUAUUAAUUUGUUGUUUCAUAGUCUCCACCACUUGACACGGAGCAAUAGAAUUUAAAUUUGAUCGGCCAGACUUACAGUGUUUUUAACAUUAAAUUUAUUUUAUUUCAGAAAUAACG